rnacentral:rRNA from 1 species
GAUGAGCGCUGGCGGCGUGCCUAAUACAUGCAAGUCGAGCGAACAGACGAGGAGCUUGCUCCUCUGACGUUAGCGGCGGACGGGUGAGUAACACGUGGAUAACCUACCUAUAAGACUGGGAUAACUUCGGGAAACCGGAGCUAAUACCGGAUAAUAUAUUGAACCGCAUGGUUCAAUAGUGAAAGACGGUUUUGCUGUCACUUAUAGAUGGAUCCGCGCCGCAUUAGCUAGUUGGUAAGGUAACGGCUUACCAAGGCAACGAUGCGUAGCCGACCUGAGAGGGUGAUCGGCCACACUGGAACGGAGACACGGUCCAGACUCCUACGGGAGGCAGCAGUAGGGAAUCUUCCGCAAUGGGCGAAAGCUUGACGGAGCAACGCCGCGUGAGUGAUGAAGGACUUCGGAUCGUAAAACUCUGUUAUUAGGGAAGAACAAAUGUGUAAGUAACUAUGCACGUCUUGACGGUACCUAAUCAGAAAGCCACGGCUAACUACGUG